AAAUCAACUUCAUACAAUCCUUAUAUAUUUUUGGAAAUAUGGUCCAAAAGUCUCUACCUGGCAUCCGUAAAGUGCCGGACUAUAAGGAAAGUUAGAUCGCCG
rnacentral:ncRNA from 2 species